rnacentral:lncRNA from 14 species
UGGCAGCUCCGUUCUGAUUCAUUUGUCCCAAAGCAGUGGUGGUUUGGGGUUUUUUCCCCACUGCUGCUUGAAAGUAAUAUUUCUCUUCUUUUGUAGUUGGGAAGACCUCUCUGAUCACCAGGUUUAUGUAUGACAGUUUUGACAAUACUUACCAGGCAACCAUUGGAAUUGAUUUCCUGUCAAAAACGAUGUAUCUGGAAGACCGCACGUUUUACUACUGGCUAAGAAGUGUGAUGCUGUUGCGGGAAGGAAGGGACCAGUGGUGCAGUAGAAGUCGUUUUGUUACUUUGGGUCUGUUGCUUCUGAGGAAGUCUCAGCCCAGUGUGUGUGAUCAGGCUGCAGCUGUGGGAUACAGCCGGGCAGGAGAGGUUCCGCAGCCUCAUUCCCAGCUACAUCUGUGA